rnacentral:tRNA from 1 species
CCCCACCUGGCUCAGUUGGUAGAGCAUGGUGUUUGCAAUGCCAGGGUUGUGGGUUCGAUUCCCACGGGGGGCC